CGCAGCCACGGGAAUACGGAGGGAGCUAGCGUUGUUCGGAAUUACUGGGCGUAAAGCGCGCGUAGGCGGUUACUCAAGUCAGAGGUGAAAGCCCGGGGCUCAACCCCGGAACUGCCUUUGAAACUAGGUGACUAGAAUCUUGGAGAGGUCAGUGGAAUUCCGAGUGUAGAGGUGAAAUUCGUAGAUAUUCGGAAGAACACCAGUGGCGAAGGCGACUGACUGGACAAGUAUUGACGCUGAGGUGCGAAAGCGUGGGGAGCAAACAGGAUUAGAUACCCGCGUAGUCCCUGUCUCUUAUACC
rnacentral:rRNA from 1 species